CUCGCGCCGCGCAUGCGCGCUGGAGCUGCUGCGGUCCUGCCCCUCUGGUCAAGUCAGAGGCGGGUCUUGCAGCCCUGACGCUUUGGUUAUGCGGAGGGUGGUUUUGUGCAGGUGACAGCUUUUCGGUGCUUUUCGGUGUGAUUUGCAGGAAAUUCUCCCACCAGAGACCCGUGUUAUGCCUGGCAUACAGGAGGCAUUCAGAACAUUUGAUGACUAGAAGUGUGUGUCUAUCUCAAUGACACAGGUCUCUAAAACCCUUGCUGACAGUGUUUGGACCAAGAGGCUGGCAGCUAUGAUGGGAGCUCUGGUAGAAGUUGCUCCGUAUAUAAAAGGAAGAAAAGAAUGUUUGCCUUACUCACUUCAGAGUCUCGUCCUGAGAACCUUAAACGUGAAAGUACAUUUGCAAACUAUAAAGCCUUCCUUAACUGCAUGGUUUUCUUAUUAAGAGGCCCUCCUACCUCCCUACCUGAGGGAACCUUUAACAGAACCCCCCUCCUCCCCCACCCAUCACGGGCACUUCUGCUCUGUUUAGAGAAACACAUUUUAUGGCGGCACAGAUACAGACGUGGAUCACAGGGUCACUGCUAUGUUUCCAUUACAAACACACAGGCUUCAGGCUUCAGCCCUUUCCACAUGCUGAACUUCAUCGGAGUCCCAUGUGUUGAGAGCCUUCUGGAAGAGACCCAACAAUUACAGAGGAGUGCACCAUACAGACUUGGCCUGAAUGUAAUUUCAGCCUGAACUUUCUGGGGAUUGUUAUGGGGUCCCAUCCUGCAGUCUUUCAACAUGAGAAACUCUCCUGGGCAUGGAAGGUUUGGAAAAUCUUCAGGAUUGAAGAGUAUUGCCUCUAGGAUUGAACAUCACGGAGGACCCUGUAACCAGAAUGGACCUUCAGUCUCAUUUCAUGAGGCUGCUGCUUUUCUGGGUCUGUGUGGCCUUCUACUUGAAAUAAAUAAGCAAAGGAUAUAGUUUUAAGUGCAGUGGUUUUCACACUCCUAGGACUGAUUUUUCCUUUGCUUUCCCAGGUUGAUGGUAAUAGAUGAAACGGAUCCAAAUGGAUUUUGCAGAGAUAGUCAAAAAGGCAUGCCAACUUGGCUUCUUGUGUACAGUAAGUACAGUAUAAGGUAGCUGCCAGAUAGAGAAGAGAGGACCCCAAGUCAAUUACUGAUUGCUUUAGCUCCUCCUUAAGGUCAACAAACCACAGCUGCAUGUGUUCCAGCAUCUAGAAUGUGACCCUGGAGAAUUAGGGGCACAGUACACAAUAUUCUGUCAAAGUGGGGGUGUCAGCCCUGGUGUAGAAUGAAUAGUGGAACCAGGGCUCUAAUGUACAUGUCAGAUUUCCAUGGAUCUCUCUCUUUUGUCACAUUGUUGUCCAUGUCUUUAUGUGGUGACAUUGCAGAGUGGACUCACAGACCCAGGGAAAGGCUGGGAAUGAAAGUGAAGUCAGUGAUAUUUAUUAUCUUGUGGUGAUCCCAGUGCUGUCAUUACACUGAUUGUCAGCACAGAGAGGCUGAUACCAGGGUCCCCAGUCCACCCGCUGCCUUAUGGUAUUGUCCAUCCAUCUUUUCAUGGUGCUUACUGUUCCUUGGAAAGUGUCUCUGCACAUUCUAGGCACUCUUUUUUCUUUGUUUUUAAUAAAAUCAGGUUCUCCUUUAAAAAAGCAGUAAGCCAAUAAUUUCCAUGGAAAAAUGAGGCAAUUACAUUUAAGCAUAAUCCUCAGAGAAGCACAAGGCACCUGAAUUUGGGAGUUUAUCGAGAGACCCUCGAUUCAGGCAGGAGUGAAUAGGUAACUCAAUUCCAUAGGCCAAAAUUUGGUAAAAUUUCUGUUUGGGACCAGGGCAAGAUAGUAACUAUUUUUGGCUCUGCGGGCCAUAAUGCGUCUCUGUAGCAAUGCUUACCUCUCCAUUGUGGCAUAAAAGCAGCAUAAACAAUGCUCAAACAAAUGGGCAUGGUUCUGUCCCAAUAAAACUUUAUUUACAGAAAUAGGCAGAGGGCCAGAUUUAGAUUUGGUCCUCAAGCCAUAGCUUAGGGAUUCCUGUUAUAAAUAGCUGUGCACUAUAAUACAGGUGUGGACAAUAAAGAAUUCAACUGACAGUAAUUAGUGCCUAUUGUGUGUUGCUGUAGAUAUAAAAAUGAAUUAAGACCCAGUUUUAUGCAUAUACAUUAUCUUUUCCUGGCAUCUGGCAGGGUGGGAUCUGGUCAUCUCUAUGGCAGUGUAUUUCCCCAGAGUGGUGGAUGUUCAUUGCUGCCCAUCUCCAGUGCCCAUGUCCCAUACUAUAUUCACUUUCCGUGCCUUGAGGGCAGAAAAUGGUGGUUUCAUCCCUAUAACAGAUACCAGACUUAUAUUUAGCUUCCGUUCACACUGUGUGAGACAUUCUCACAUGCCUUGUCUUUGAUCUUCAAAAACACUCCAGUGAAGUAAGCUCCAUUAUUCCUAGUUUUCAAACGGGACAAUAUGGAUUCAGAGAAGUUAAGUUAUAUCCUCCGUGAAUUCUACACUGGUUGGUACUGGAGCCAGGAUCCAAUGCAGACCGCAAGAACAUUACCACAGUUGUCCUACAUGGCAGAUUCUCUUGAGCAUAAAUAGUUUAUUUUGAACAAGAGGGGAAAAAAAGAUAGAAAACAUCUUGAAUCCAAAAAUGGGAGCUGAGAUGAGGACAACUGGGUGUCCAAGACCACUUUUAGGGUGGGUUUUUGUUUUGUUUUGUUUUGCUUUGCUUUGUUUUAACAUUAACAUUGUGGCUAUGUGCUGGAAUAGGACAUGCAUUCUUCAUUCUUUUUUCAUUACACGAGAAUUGUUGCAAUCAUUAUGCAAAACCAAUAAAGGGAAAACUUUUCAAAAAAAAAAUGUCAUUUGGCAAGAAAUGCCCAGUUGAGGAACAGCACAGGUCUCACGGGAGAACAAUAUGCAUUUUGUAAAAUUUCUUAAAAGACAAUUUAUGGUUUUGAGAAAACAAAACAGGAAAUUGAAUUAAAAGGAGAAACAUAUUUAAAUAAUGCUCAAGUGAUGACAUAACUAACCAAAGUCCAACAAUCACAACCUAGAGUCAGGCAUUGUUGGCUGCAAGACUUUUCUGGCAUUGGUUGGUAGGGUCCUUAAGUGAAGAGAGAUGUUGUACUAUUUAAUUGGUACUGCAUCGCAGCUUUUGAAUAGAUGAAAACUCAUUUCUUAAACUGGGAAUUUAGCCCUAACUACAAGACUUCUGUCAUAUAUUUCCUGAAAACAAUGCACUAUGACCUUCCUUCUUACAUCAUAAAUUUUGAUGCCUAUCUCUGGAUUGGCAGAGUUUUGCCCUGGGGUGAAUUUGGAGUAGAUCAAAUAGGUGUUCUCUUUUCCUAUAACACUAUGCUCAAUACCUCUUGGAAAGUUAAGGAUUAAAAUCAAACAAACAAACAAAAAACAUCCAUUACAAGGAAGCAGAAUUUCUAUCAGAAAGAAAGAAUAUCAGGAGUCAUUUGUUACUAUCAGUACUAAAUACACACACACACACACACACACACACACAUUUUUUUUCCUAGUAAAGAAAGUAUUUUAAGAAGAGAAAGUUGAUUCCUAAUUCAAAACAGUAUACUACAUCCGCAACCUUCUAUUAAUUUUUAUUUGGUUUUUCUAGACUCUUGAUGAGCAGAGGGUAAAGGGGAGAAACUAUCGACACUUAUGUAAGUUUAAAUUAUGAGUCUUGAUUCAGCCAUUUCUGAAGGAAGGUCCUUUACCUUUAUUAAUUAUAACAUAAUACUAUUACAUAUGAAGAUACAGAUUUUUACAUUUUCAAUCUUAUUUUCUCUAUUCUACAAGUUAACUGUAUGAGGUAGGUCACAGUGUAGCCUCUAUUUUAUAGGGAGGAUUAUUAUUAUUAAUUAUUAUUAUUAUUAUUAUUAUCAUCACUGUUAUUAUUUUUGCAUAGCUAAGUUCUUAACCACUACCCUAAUCUGCCUUAAAUGGGGAUCAAAAAUCUGUACAGUCAAUGAAGUAUGAUGACAAUGUAAUUGACUCAGUCUCAGCAAAAAAUAUUUCAUGACUUGCUUGAUUCCAUUAUUUUGUUGUAAUGAGGUUGGUUUAUAAACAACACAUGUAAAUUUCCCUGUUCAGCCCAUUUUGUGCUGAAUGGCACACAUCUUUGGAACGCCUGGCCAGGUUCAGCAGUUCAGCUGAAUACAGCUAACCACAUCACAUGGUUACUAAGCCACUCACCAUCCAGGAAGUCUGCUAACUUUCUUUCUUAUCUAGCAGAAAUGAAAUCCAUUACAGCAAGAUUAUAUAUAUAUAUAUAUAUAUAUAUAUAUAUAUAUAUAUAUAUAUAUAUCCUUUUGUAUCACCAGCACCUGGCAUACAGUAAAUAGUUUUUUUUUUUUUAAAGUCAGCUA
rnacentral:lncRNA from 1 species